CAAGAUAUAGCUUAAUUAAAGCNUCUCNCUUACACCGAGAACAUGCCCGUUAAACUCGAGCUAUUUUGA
rnacentral:tRNA from 1 species